GUCCACGCCGUAAACUAUGAUUACUCGUUUCAGCGAUAUACGGUUGGAGACUAAGCGAAGUGAUAAGUAAUCCACCUGGGAGUACGAUCGCAAGGUUGAACUCAAAGGAAUUGACGGGGCCCGCACAAGCGGUGGAGCAUGUGGUUUAAUUCGACGCAACGCGAAGAACCUUACCAGGACUUGACAUCCCGGGAAUCCGACGUAAUGGUUGGAGUGCCCUUCGGGGAAUCCGGUGACAGGUGGUGCAUGGUUGUCGU
rnacentral:rRNA from 1 species